rnacentral:rRNA from 2 species
UUUGCCUUUUGUGAUACGCUUUCAAAGAGUCAGGUUGUUUGGGAAUGCAGCCUAAAUUGGGUGGUAAAUCUCACCUAAAGCUAAAUAUUGGCGAGAAACCGAUAGCGAACAAGUACCGUGAGGGAAAGAUGAAAAGAACUUUGAAAAGAGAGUUAAACAGUAUGUGAAAUUGUUAAAAGGGAACCGUUUGGAGCCAGACUGGCUUGUCUGUAAUCAAUCUAGGCUUCGGCCUGGAUGCACUUGCAGGCUAUGCCUGCCAACGACAAUUUGACUUGAGGGAAAAAACUAGGGGAAAUGUGGCCCACUUGUGGGUGUUAUAGUCCCUUAGAAAAUACCUUGGGUUGGAUUGAGGAACGCAGCGAAUGCUUAUUGGCGAGUUUUCCAGGAAGGUUUUCUGAGGUACUACGGUAUCAAGGUUGAUCUUUUUGGUUAUACUUCUAUUCGCU